ACCUCUUGAGAGGAAGACAGUCUGC
rnacentral:piRNA from 1 species